GAUGAAGAACGUAGUGAAAUGCGAUAAGUAGUGUGAAUUGCAGAAUUCAGUGAAUCAUCGAAUCUUUGAACGCACAUUGCGCCCCUUGGUAUCCCGAGGGGCAUGCCUGUUCGAGCGUCAUUUCACCACUCAAGCCUGGCUUGGUGUUGGGCGACGUCCUCUUUGGGGACGCGCCUCGAAACGCUCGGCGGCGUGGCACCGGCUUUAAGCGUAGCAGAAUCUUUCGCUUUGGAAGUCGGGGCCCCGUCUGCCGGAAGACCUGCUCGCAAGGUUGACCUCGGAUCAGGCAGGGAUACCCGCUGAACUUAAUCAUAUCAAUAAGCGGAGGA
rnacentral:misc_RNA from 1 species